UACAGAGGGGGCAAGCGUUGUUCGGAAUUACUGGGCGUAAAGGGCGCGUAGGCGGCCUGCUAAGUCGAACGUGAAAUCCCUGGGCUCAACCCAGGAACUGCGUCCGAUACUGGUUGGCUUGAAUCCGGGAGAGGGACGUGGAAUUCCAGGUGUAGCGGUGAAAUGCGUAGAUAUCUGGAGGAACACCGGUGGCGAAGGCGACGUCCUGGACCGGCAUUGACGCUGAGGCGCGAAAGCCAGGGAGCAAAGCGGG
rnacentral:rRNA from 1 species